UACGAAGGGGGCUAGCGUUGCUCGGAAUUACUGGGCGUAAAGGGCGCGUAGGCGGACAGUUUAGUCAGAGGUGAAAGCCCAGGGCUCAACCUUGGAAUUGCCUUUGAUACUGACUGUCUUGAGUUCGGGAGAGGUGAGUGGAAUGCCGAGUGUAGAGGUGAAAUUCGUAGAUAUUCGGCGGAACACCAGUGGCGAAGGCGACUCACUGGCCCGAUACUGACGCUGAGGCGCGAAAGCGUGGGGAGCAACAGGGAU
rnacentral:rRNA from 1 species